rnacentral:lncRNA from 1 species
GUCAAGGUACGCAUUCAGAGGCUUCAGUUAUUUUGCAGACCUUGAUUGAUGACUCCAGGGCUUCUGAGCAUCCUGUAGAACAUGAUCUAAAGGUUAUAGUAAGAUAGGGAACGAGGAAAUGUAAUAUAUAAAUGUAAUAUACGGGGAGUUAGAAUUUCAAAAAAGAUGACCCUUCCAUAUUUUUUAUCCGGAUUCUGCCAUGCUUGAGGACAGCAUCCAUGAAAGAAACGAUGCAGGUUUUUCAUUCUAUAAUUAUUUUUAUGAAGAGGGUGUUUAGUUCACUCCGUGAUAUGAAUUGAAGCUUGGGAUGUGGCUACCUGUAAAAGCAGAGUCUGCAAUAUAUACUGGCACUUUAUGAUUGAUCAUAGGCAUUGUUCUCUUAGUUAAAGCUUCAGGUACAUUUGGCAGUUCACUAGUUAAAUUUGAACGUUUCCUAUAAAUUGCACCUGGCUCUUUUCCAUCUUAGAUUGGCAGCUACUUGGUUAAUAGUCAGUUGGUCACUCAUGGAUGGUGAAUAUCUCAAAUACUUUAGAAAAUAAAUUUGAAAUUUCUGAUUUUUCAUAGAAAUGGUAAUUUGGCAAGUACAUUUGCCAAUGGCCACUGAAACGUGCUGUGAUGUUAUGUGCACUAUCAAGUUUAUGUUUAUUACAUUGAAUUCAACUGGAUACCCUUAAUGUGUAUAUGAGAUACUUGAUUCUUUAUUUGUGCAUACCGUUAAUGUGAUCUUUGAUUUACAAUGCCCAGCAAUGUCAACUGGAUAGAUAAGAAAAGGUUUCCCGUAUGGAACAUCAACAUUCGCAAACCCAGGGAAAGAACAAGCAGUUUUCCAAGCUUCUAGGAAUGACUAAAAACAAGGUAAAGAGAUGGUUACCAAAUAUGGAAUAGGGUUGAAAGAAAACAACUUUGAGAUUACCUGGGUGUCAUUAUGAAGGCCAUCCCCUUUAGCAGCAAAAUCAACGACAGAAAUGACCCGUCGAGAUCUGGGUCGAGUUCGGGUUCUGGUUCUGGUAAAGGUGGAACGUGGCAGCUGG